AGAUGUGAGAGUUAGUCUCUCACAGAACACCAGACACCCCACUGAUUGCUAGGUUGAUUCAGCUGAUAAGGUUGGCAAGGUGAGGCUCCCCUUCCUUCCUCACGAUUCCAUGUGCAUCCCUCUAAGAGGAUGUUUGUGGAAGAAGACAGCCUUCCCUGACUAGGGAUUCAGAGACAGACUGACUGGAGCAUUCAAUAGUAGCUGUAUUCCUUUGUUAGUACCUCCAAACAAGCUCUCAAGGUGUUCAUUCCUUUAAUGAAAAUAGAAGUAUAUGGGUCUCUUAAGGUGUGGAGGGUUCUCACCCACCCCCCUCUGGGGCGCCCCCAGUG
rnacentral:snRNA from 1 species